UUUAGUUAUUCAGAUGGUAUAGCUAAUUUACUCCUUCAGCACACAGUUUUAUGGAAGGUGGCUGGAAAACUAAUCAUGCCAAAACUAAAGGGCUUAACAUCUGAGAUUAAAAAAGCUCCGUCAUCUGGACUUAAGUGGUCCUUUUCUCCUGGGACUAACCUGCUAUCAGGUGGUGAUGCAAAACUUGAAAAAGAGUCUAGGCAAAAACUAAAUGAGUUUUCCAAGGAACUUAGAACAUUCAGAAGUGUUGACUUGUCAGGUCGUAACUUUGGUGAUGAUGGUCUGUUUUUUCUUGCUGAAAGCCUUGGUUACAACAGGCAGCAGAAGAAGUUGAUUUUUCUGGCAAUGGGAUUACAGCAGUUGGCCUAAAGGCACUUUAUGGUGUUCUUCAGACGAAUACCAUGCUUAAAACUCUGAACCUAUCAGGAAAUAAUAUUGGCGAUGAAGGAGCUAAGGAGAAUGUGGAUAUUAAAAUUUUAACAAAUGAUGAUGUUCUAGGUGAUGCAAUACCUUAUGAUCAGCAAGAUGCAAUGCGCCACCUCUGUUACCAAUUCCUUGAUUUAAUGUCGCCUACGGGAAGAACAAACCCACAAUUUCCUGGUUCACAUCCAGUUUCUCU